rnacentral:rRNA from 1 species
GAUAACGUAGCGAAAGUUACGCUAAUACCGCAUACGAUCUAAGGAUGAAAGCAGGGGAUCGCAAGACCUUGUGCUCCUGGAGCGGCCGAUAUCUGAUUAGCUAGUUGGUGGGGUAAAGGCCCACCAAGGCAACGAUCAGUAGCUGGUCUGAGAGGACGACCAGCCACACUGGAACUGAGACACGGUCCAGACUCCUACGGGAGGCAGCAGUGGGGAAUUUUGGACAAUGGGGGCAACCCUGAUCCAGCAAUGCCGCGUGAGUGAAGAAGGCCUUCGGGUUGUAAAGCUCUUUUGUCAGGGAAGAAAAGGCUGUGGCUAAUAUCCAUGGCUCAUGACGGUACCUGAAGAAUAAGCACCGGCUAACUACGUGCCAGCAGCCGCGGUAAUACGUAGGGUGCAAGCGUUAAUCGGAAUUACUGGGCGUAAAGCGUGCGCAGGCGGUUUUGUAAGACUGUCGUGAAAUCCCCGGGCUCAACCUGGGAAUGGCGAUGGUGACUGCAAGGCUAGAGUUUGGCAGAGGGGGGUAGAAUUCCACGUGUAGCAGUGAAAUGCGUAGAUAUGUGGAGGAACACCGAUGGCGAAGGCAGCCCCCUGGGUCAAAACUGACGCUCAUGCACGAAAGCGUGGGGAGCAAACAGGAUUAGAUACCCUGGUAGUCCACGCCCUAAACGAUGUCUACUAGUUGUCGGGUCUUAAUUGACUUGGUAACGCAGCUAACGCGUGAAGUAGACCGCCUGG